AUUGAACGCUGGCGGCAGGCCUAACACAUGCAAGUCGAACGAGCGGCGGACGGGUGAGUAAUGCCUGGGAAUCUGGCUUAUGGAGGGGGAUAACGACGGGAAACUGUCGCUAAUACCGCGUACCAUAGGAUGAGCCCAAGUGGGAUUAGGUAGUUGGUGGGGUAAUGGCCUACCAAGGCGACGAUCUCUAGCUGGUCUGCGUGGAUGACCAGCCACACCGGAACUGAGACACGGCCCAGACUCCUACGGGAGGCAGCAGUGGGGAAUUUUGGACAAUGGGCGCAAGCCUGAUCCAGCCAUGCCGCGUGUCUGAAGAAGGCCUUCGGGUUGUAAAGGACUUUUGUCAGGGAAGCGGUACCUGAAGAAUAAGCACCGGCUAACUACGUGCCAGCAGCCGCGGUAAUAC
rnacentral:rRNA from 1 species